AGGUCAGUAGCUCCAACUGGUUAGAGCAUCGCACUCCAAAUGCGAGGGUUGAGGGUUCGAAUCCUUCCUGGCCUGCCA
rnacentral:tRNA from 1 species